rnacentral:rRNA from 1 species
UUAGUGGCGAACGGGUGAGUAACACGUGAGUAACCUGCCCUUAACUCUGGGAUAAGCCUGGGAAACUGGGUCUAAUACCGGAUAGGAGCGCCUACCGCAUGGUGGGUGUUGGAAAGAUUUAUCGGUUUUGGAUGGACUCGCGGCCUAUCAGCUUGUUGGUGAGGUAAUGGCUCACCAAGGCGACGACGGGUAGCCGGCCUGAGAGGGUGACCGGCCACACUGGGACUGAGACACGGCCCAGACUCCUACGGGAGGCAGCAGUGGGGAAUAUUGCACAAUGGGCGCAAGCCUGAUGCAGCGACGCCGCGUGAGGGAUGACGGCCUUCGGGUUGUAAACCUCUUUCAGUAGGGAAGAAGCGAAAGUGACGGUACCUGCAGAAGAAGCACCGGCUAACUACGUGCCAGCAGCCGCGGUAAUACGUAGGGUGCGAGCGUUAUCCGGAAUUAUUGGGCGUAAAGAGCUCGUAGGCGGUUUGUCGCGUCUGUCGUGAAAGUCCGGGGCUUAACCCCGGAUCUGCGGUGGGUACGGGCAGACUAGAGUGCAGUAGGGGAGACUGGAAUUCCUGGUGUAGCGGUGGAAUGCGCAGAUAUCAGGAGGAACACCGAUGGCGAAGGCAGGUCUCUGGGCUGUAACUGACGCUGAGGAGCGAAAGCAUGGGGAGCGAACAGGAUUAGAUACCCUGGUAGUCCAUGCCGUAAACGUUGGGCACUAGGUGUGGGGACCAUUCCACGGUUUCCGCGCCGCAGCUAACGCAUUAAGUGCCCCGCCUGGGGAGUACGGCCGCAAGGCUAAAACUCAAAGGAAUUGACGGGGGCCCGCACAAGCGGCGGAGCAUGCGGAUUAAUUCGAUGCAACGCGAAGAACCUUACCAAGGCUUGACAUGUUCUCGAUCGCCGUAGAGAUACGGUUUCCCCUUUGGGGCGGGUUCACAGGUGGUGCAUGGUUGUCGUCAGCUCGUGUCGUGAGAUGUUGGGUUAAGUCCCGCAACGAGCGCAACCCUCGUUCCAUGUUGCCAGCACGUAAUGGUGGGGACUCAUGGGAGACUGCCGGGGUCAACUCGGAGGAAGGUGAGGACGACGUCAAAUCAUCAUGCCCCUUAUGUCUUGGGCUUCACGCAUGCUACAAUGGCCGGGACAAUGGGUUGCGAAACUGUGAAGGGGAACUAAUCCCAAA